rnacentral:rRNA from 1 species
ACGUCAAAUCAUCAUGCCCCUUAUGUUCUGGGCUACACACGUGCUACAAUGGCCGGCACAGCGGGAAGCAAAGCCGCGAGGCGGAGCAAAUCCCGAAAACCGGUCCCGGUUCGGAUUGCAGGCUGAAACCCGCCUGCAUGAAGUCGGAGUUGCUAGUAAUCGCGGAUCAGAAUGCCGCGGUGAAUGCGUUCCCGGGUCUU